rnacentral:rRNA from 1 species
UUGCACGCUGGCGGCAUGCCUUACACCUGCCAGUCGAACGGUAACAGGUUAAGCUGCCGAGUGGCGAACGGGUGAGUAAUACAUCGGAACGUGCCCAGUAGUGGGGGAUAGCCCGGCGAAAGCCGGAUUAAUACCGCAUACGACCUAAGGGUGAAAGGGGGGGAUCGCAAGACCUCUCGCUAUUGGAGCGGCCGAUGUCAGAUUAGCUAGUUGGUGGGGUAAAAGCUCACCAAGGCGACGAUCUGUAGCUGGUCUGAGAGGACGACCAGCCACACUGGGACUGAGACACGGCCCAGACUCCUACGGGAGGCAGCAGUGGGGAAUUUUGGACAAUGGGCGCAAGCCUGAUCCAGCCAUGCCGCGUGCGGGAAGAAGGCCUUCGGGUUGUAAACCGCUUUUGUCAGGGAAGAAAUCCUUUGGGUUAAUACCUCGGGGGGAUGACGGUACCUGAAGAAUAAGCACCGGCUAACUACGUG